UCAACAGGCUAUUCCAGUAGACUCGUUUAAUUAAAAAAACUACACACAUCUUUGCAAUCCAAAAUUAACCAACGGAUUUAUCGAUACGAGACUGAAAUCAAUGAGAACAUCAGCAAGAUCUACCAAACGGAAAGUUGAUAUCGAAGAUAAAGGGAAGUCUACCAAUCCCAAAAAGACCAGUGGUCGUAAACCUGAACUUAAAGAAGAUGACACUGAUACAACUUCUACUUACAUUGAAGAUGAAGCUAUAUUUAAAGUUGAUUGGUUAAAGACCCACAUUCUGUCUCCUGGAAUAAACAAUGAAACAAUAAAACAACACACGGAAUCUACAUACAGAUACAGACAGUCACAGAUUACUGCAGGGAAUUGGACAACUUCCCAAAUAUUAGCGGAAUAUCCACGUUUCCGUGACUACCCACUUUUGUUAAAUAUGCCAUAUGUUAAGAAACAUUUCAUCAUUAUUCUGAAAAAUUGAUUCCUUUAGGUAUUCUACGAUUUCUUGACUGCUUACACCAAAGCUGAGAGUUUUGAGGACAACUUUAUGGGGAAAUUUUCUCCAUUGAUAAUGAGCGCCGCUGAAAAAGGAAAUAUUGUAAUUCCAGAUACCGAUGAUGAAUGCCUAAAGCUUCUCAUAUUGCUGUUAAAAAUCGUCCCCAACCUUUAAAGGAUUAAAGCGAUGUCUAAAGAUGUAAUAAUUGAACGGGUCAUCUGCUUCAUAAAUGCCAAUGAUGACAUUUUGGAAAUUGCUAAAGAACACAAGCCCCAUCUGCUUCUGUCACCCUUUAUUUGCUGCGUGGGAAGUAUCCAACAUCCUGCAAGUUUUUCCGUCGUUUCAGAAGGAGAAGUUAUCCAUGCUGGCAAAACAUCAAUUGAGGCUUUUAAGACUCUCUAUGCUUCAUUCCAUAUGCUCCGAAUACCAUAUCCCUCCAUCUUUUCUACUUUUUUCUUUUUUUUUGACAGUAACCUUUUCCGUGUGCAUCCGGGGAAAAUUCGUCCUAGUGUUGCGGACUUACAUGUUCUGUUAAAUCCUAAUGUACAUCCCAGCUCUUAGCUGUACUUAAGA